rnacentral:rRNA from 1 species
UUAGGGAAUAUUGCACAAUGGAGGAAACUCUGAUGCAGCGACGCCGCGUGAGUGAUGAAGGCCUUCGGGUCGUAAAGCUCUGUCGCAGGGGAAUAACACAAUGAAGGUACCCUGUAAGAAAGGAUCGGCUAACUUCGUGCCAGCAGCCGCGGUAAGACGAGGGAUCCUAGCGUUGUUCGGAAUCAUUGGGCGUAAAGCGGAUGUAGGUGGCUAUGUAAGUCAGAUGUGAAAGCCUGGGGCUCAACCCCAGAAGUGCAUUUGAUACUGCGUAGCUUGAGUGUCGGAGAGGUUACUAGAAUUGUUGGUGUAGUGGUGAAAUACGUAGAUAUCAACAGGAAUACCGGAGGCGAAGGCGGGUAACUGGCCGAACACUGACACUGAGAUCCGAAAGCGUGGGGAUCAAACAGGAUUAGAAACCCCAGUAGUCC